AGUGAACGCUGGCGGUAGGCCUAACACAUGCAAGUCGAACGGCAGCACAGGAGAGCUUGCUCUCUGGGUGGCGAGUGGCGGACGGGUGAGGAAUACAUCGGAAUCUACUUUUUCGUGGGGGAUAACGUAGGGAAACUUACGCUAAUACCGCAUACGACCUACGGGUGAAAGCAGGGGAUCUUCGGACCUUGCGCGAUUGAAUGAGCCGAUGUCGGAUUAGCUAGUUGGCGGGGUAAAGGCCCACCAAGGCGACGAUCCGUAGCUGGUCCGAGAGGAUGAUCAGCCACACUGGAACUGAGACACGGUCCAGACUCCUACGGGAGGCAGCAGUGGGGAAUAUUGGACAAUGGGCGCAAGCCUGAUCCAGCCAUACCGCGUGGGUGAAGAAGGCCUUCGGGUUGCAAAGCCCUUUUGUUGGGAAAGAAAUCCAGCUGGUUAAUACCCGGUUGGGAUGACGGUACCCAAAGAAUAAGCACCGGCUAACUUCGUGCCAGCCGCCGCAGUAA
rnacentral:rRNA from 1 species